rnacentral:pre_miRNA from 1 species
AAAGUACUCCCUCCGUCCCAAAAUUCUUGUCUUCGAUUUGUCUAGAUACAGAUGUAUCAAGUCACAUUUUAGUAUUAGAUACAUCCGUAUCUAGACAAAUCUAAGACAAGAAAUUUGGGACAGAGGGAGUAGUUG